CAGCCAGCUGAGGCAGCACAUCCAACUAGUUUAAUAGAUGCAAGUACAAAACAAGGUGGGGAAAAAGACACUGAUGUUAACAGCCACCUUGGCAGGAAUCUUUAUCAUUCCUGUUGUUGCUGCCUCUAAACUGUUUAAACAUUUGUAUGGUUUUUAUAUAUUGGGCUAACUUUCUAUUGAGUAAGGUUUUUCUCCCUAAUUCUUACUUUUGAUAUGUGAUCCACUUCCAUGUGCCCAAUCACAAUAACACUGUAGGCUCCCUGGCAGUAAAGGCCUGCCAGAAUUAGCUGUUGCCUUGGCUCUCUAUACCUGGUUACCUGGGCAGAAUUUUCUGGUGCUGUGAAGUACAAGUACUUGUUGCACAAUUUCUUUACACUUUUUUGAUGUUAGAGGCAGUUGUUACUAUGGUAGGCCUUAUUUUUAAAUUAUAACUGAAUUUGCGUGUAUCCUGCAGUUGUGUUAGCUAACAGAAUGAUAAUAGGUUUCAGGAAGAAGAUACAUGCAUGACUUAAGCUCCCAGGAGGUAAACGACUCCUGAAAAAAUGUGAUUUGUAAUGGACUUGGGAUUGACACUUCCAAUCAAAUGACUUCCCCUCGGAAGACUUACUAUCUAAACCAAAAUAAAAUGGUUUCACACUUUGUAGCUUGCUUGAUUGGCAAAUAAUAUGAGCAAGAUUUUGUGGUUAGCCUGUACCUUGGAGCUUCUUUGCGUUUGGCCUGUGUUCCUGGGAGUUCUUGAAAGGAGUGCAAAGCAAUCUUUUUUCCGAAGUGUAUUUGCUUUGUACUGUCAGGUCUUGUUGAAUGAGCGAGAUGAGUCGGAAAAGCUGGUCCACUCUCCAAAUGAAAGCUGUUUCUCUGAAAGAAGUUAUUCCCUAAUGCAAUACACAAAGAUGGGAUUUGAAAGGAAAGAUACCGUGCCACUGAGGCUAAGGUUUGGCACUUGUCAUCCUCAUAUCUUUUGGGGAUGUGCCCAAGGGCUUCUGUUUCUGUUUUGAAUAGUGGGUCGCUCUACAGUAAUACUUUUCAAUCAAAGCUGAGUGGAUUAGGCAAGGUAAAAAUCUUCGUUGAUAACAUAGCUACUCGGAUGAAUGCUCCACAGUACUCUCCCAAUGAAGACAUGACAACCAUAGCUGGUCUGUAAGGGUGUACCAGCUGAGUUUUGAUGUAAGUGUCAGAAACUAUCAAAAUUGUCUUUCCACCUAAUGAGUAUUCACCUGCAGCUGGAGGCAGCAUUAUAAAUUGUAGGACACUGGCAAACUUGAAUCUUGUCAGUUUAUGCAGGAAAGGCAAGUUGGGAAAAGUGAUUGCUGUGAAACAGUGAAGCUGACGCUGAAAGCGCUGUCAAAUACAGAACAGAAUUUGAAAAGUUUUGUCAUUCUGGACAUACAGAAAUAUUCUUCUACAGACUGCUUCUCAACAUGGAGCUCAGAAAAGCAUUGUCUUGUGAGUUUGAUAGGAAUUCAUUAGGGACAGCUUUAUUCCAUCACCCUUUUUAAUAUCGGAGAACUAAGACUCUAACACAGUUCAAGCUCAUGUUUUGUCAAUGACAUUCUGUGUUCAGUUGUGGGACUUUUGACAGAAAGCUUGAUUUGACUUGAAGGUCAGUUUGUCUUAUUAGCAGCAGUGCUGAGGGUAGUGUGUUCCACAGACGGAUUUGUCCUAGAUGUCAGAACAGUGUUAGCCAAACGAUUAGGUUAUCACUUUUUACAAUAGCACUUCAUCUUAAACUGGAAAAUACUUAUGCAGAAUGAAGUGAAAAUUAGGAUUUUCUUAGCAGAAGCCUAUAACGGCAUUCACAGCUUUAGAUACUCAUAAAAAUAUGUACACAGGCUUGUCAUUUACUGUUUAAUUACAAACGGCAGGCAUAAUAUGCUGUGCUACUAAGAGGGAACUACCUGUAAUAUUAGUACUUUCUGUAGUCCCUUUUAUGCUUCAAAGUCUCAUUCUUGUAUAGAUGGCAUGAGUAAAAGAUGAAUGUAUCUGUUGCUUAGCUUAAAAAUGCAUCUUUUGCAACUGUAGAAUUGUGCUUUAAAAAAGACAUAAGAUAAUUUAGUUGAAAGUGAAGUCACUAAAAGACUCUAUAGGCUAUACUAAAUGGCAGAUGCAGUUUAUUCCUAGAGGAAUACAGCCUUUUACACUAAGAUGAUGAGAAGAGAGCAUGUAUAAAGGGGCUAAUAGCCUGAAUAGCCAGGUAGCUUUUGCUACUGUUGGAAAACAGUCCUAUAAUGAACCUGAAGAGAAUCCAGUGUCGGUCCUUCCAUCCAUAAAACUGCUUGAUGUUCAUUUGUGGAAUUGGGUGCUCAUUCCAAACUCGUCAAAGGCAAGUGAAGGAAUCUUGCAGGCUCCAGUGGAUUCCAAAUAAAGCCUAUAUCCUGUUUGUUUAGCCAGUUGGGGUACCUUCUGGAUCUACAGCAUAUUGCUUUGGGCAUAAUCCAUUGUCAUUCUUCAUAUGAAAUUACAUUUGAAAUCACUAGAGGCUGUUUUGGAACAGGGAAAUGCUACUUAAAAUAGCUUCUUUUCAAAGAAGUCACUUGAAAGGUUAAUGACUGAAAAGACAUGAAAAUCCUCAUGGGUGAGAUGUUCUGUAGUGCAAAUGGCACUUCCAUAUAGAGAAGGAAGUGAGAGACUUUGGUGCCCUUUUGCCAGCACCUGCUGACACAGUGGCAGGGAGCUAACUGUCUACUUGCUGGUUCAAGUUUAUUUGCAAGAUAAAAUAAAACCCUGAGACUUGUCACUGUAGCCUGUGAAUCAGAAGAUGUAGUUUAUCAUAUUUCACCUGCUUAACAUUCAGUUAUGUUGGGUGUAAAGCCCCCAGAAGCAUUAUUUUUUCCAAAGUUUAUGAAAAUAAAUACUUUGAUAUUGGAUCUCAAUUAUUUUGUGCUUAGUGCACAAGCAGAGGAUGCAGAGCAACUGCUUUCAAAUGCCUCCUAUCCCUUGAGUAUAAAGUGACGUUAAGGGAGAAGUCUGAGCAUAAGUGAGGUUAGCAAAACAGAAAAAUCACAUGCUAUUGUUGGUACAGUCAAGACUGAUUCUGGAACAUAAAUAUUUUUCUCUGACUUAAGUAGUUCUGUAUCACUUCUCCUGUCAAUUAAUUCAAGAUACUAAGCUAUUGUUUGGUGGUUACGUUCUGUUUAAACCAAGCUUUCCAUAGAUUCCUUCUAUUAUGUGGACAACCUGUUGCUAGUAUAUUGGCUCUCAACUAGGAGAUCUUGAUCAUGUAAAACUCAUUAGUGAGGUGAAAACCUACAGAAAACAAGUUGGAUGUCGAAUUAGUGUGGAGUAUGCCAACUGUUAAUUGUCUAAAUGAAAUGGGCUGUGGUAGGUUGCAUCUGUGGGAAUUGUACUUCUGUGUGCAGGGAUUUAAAAGGCAAGGAUUUGAGUGCUUUGACAAUCUAUUUAGAAAGAAAACACAGUGGUUUCAAAGAAUGGUAUGAAAGGAGACUGAUAAUACAGGUUGUUCCUUAUGGAACCUUGAAAUGUACUUAACGGGGGAGGCAUUGCCUCUCAUAAGUCAAAGUUAAUGAUCCUUUCAAAACUUCGCUGUAAUUACUCUCCUGAAUGUUCUGGAUAAUAGUAAAAAGAUCUAUUUUUUGCCUGGUGUUGCAAUGAGAAAGCUGCAUCAGGCUCGACUGUAGAUCACUGCCUGCCAGAGACUAGGUGAGGGGAGGAGUCUGAUAUAUUGGAAUUCACAGAUGCUCUUGUGCUUGUUUUAAAUGUAAAUGAAGAAAGCUGAGUGUGUCUGUUUUGUUCUCUUGCAGAUGGCACUUUAACAAGUAUAUUUUUGGUAAGAUUAGGGGGAGAGUCAUCUUUUCCUCAGCCCUUUUAUGGUAGGCAUUUGUCUGUGUUUUGUAUAAAAUGUUAAAUACAAGAGUCACUGAAAUCCGAAGCUGGCUAUGGUUGUCAGUAUCUAGUGCACCCUCAUCUGUUUCUACUGAACACCAAAAAUGUGAGCACUUGACAAUACUGUUAAUGUUAAACUGAAGCUCUGUAUUCUGAGACUGACACGAUCUUGCAAGGCCAACCCAAGUAACGUAGUGCUGCUUGUCACCUAGAGAGUCCCUUUUGCUUUGCUUAGGAACUUGACGGUGUUUGGGAAUCGCCUUUUCUACCGUCUGAGCGUGAUGGCAGUAGCGGCAGGUUGGUUGUGUAAAGAUGUAGCUGGAUUCUUCGGAUAACUUAUUUUUGUGAUAGAAAAAAUGCAGCUGCUGUCUGUAAAUUCACACAACCUAAAUUCUUGAACUUGUCAGUUCCUUAUGUUAGUGGUGUUUUAACUCUUUCAGGACAUUCUGAAAAGGAUGAACGGCAGCAAGGGUAAGCUCUUGGCUCAAUAGAUUGCACAGUUACAGUUCCAUCAAAGUACGGAAGGGCUUAGUCUUCCCACUGCUGUUUAGGGAAAUGGUCCUACCACCUCAAACCCACACUGUGUUAUCCUCUCAGUUAACACAAGUUCUCUCUGAUACAUAUUUCCUGCUUUCUACUGUCAGACCAAUAUUCCAGAGCAGGCCUGUAUUUAUUGUACAGCGGACAUUGAAAGGAGGUGUCCAAAAUCAGUCCUGGAAUGGGCAAGGUACUGUCAACUAUGUUCCCAUUUCUCUUGAUCUUUGUAGAGAAUCCAGGGAAUUAAUUGUAUGUGGCACUUAAAGAGCACUUUCUCAUACUUACUUAGAGAUGCAGCUGUAUUUCCCCCUGCUUACCUGAGAAGAGUCAGAACUGUCUCAUUCUCAAGGAUGUUGAGAGGAGUUUAGCAUGCCCCCGACUCCUUUUUUUUAGGAAGAGAUCUCCAGAACUUCCGAUCAGCACCUUUCACCAGCACUAAAAAACAGUAAUUAAAAAUGCAACUAAAUACCAGUCACUGAAUGCUCAUCUAGCGAUUCAUGGCAGACUCCAGAGUCAAAGGCACUUGUGAGGCUUGCUUGCUGCUGCCUGAUUUCAGAUGAUAACUUUGUCUGCCAGGUAUCCCGGUGGCCUUUUGUGCAACCUCUGAUACUCGGCAUCAAGCUAGGAUUUCCAUAGUCAUAAAAAUAAAAAAAAAAAAAUUAUCUGUGUGGCUUCCAUCAAGUUUAUAUCUUUUCAGAAAAUCUAACAAAAUGAAGAAAUAAGCUAUUUCCUGAAAAAAUACUGUGGCCAUGACUAACUGUAAGCCCGUGUUCCAGCUCUCAUCCCUUGGAGUUUGCUUUCCUGUUUGCAAGAUUUGCGAUUCUCAAGUCUCCUCUGUUGGAGAGGAGGAUCGGUCUGUCAAAUCUGAACAAAGGCAGAAAUGCAAGAACCAGCGAAUGAAAGAGCAGAGCUGAGAAGCGAUGUGUUGCUUUUUUUUGACAACCUGGUAAAUAUGAAUUAUGAAAUCGACUAUUUAAAAGGAACCUUUUUUUAAAUUUGGGUUGCUAGCAGUGUAAAAUGUAAUUUAAAUCUGUUGCGCUGAAGCAUUUUUGUUACCAAUAGUCAAGUAGGAGAUGUUUACUUUUAUGUGUGUUUUCCCUUCUGCUCUUCCCAUUCACAGUCCCGUUGUGGUAAUUUCCUGAAGGUGUAAUCUUUGUAGCAUGAUUGUACAAACAUCCAUAUGAGAUUCCUGACUUCUUGUUCUCACUAAAAUAUGUUAAAGCAAUAGUAGUUUUACUUCUGUCCUUCUUUUCUCCACCUUCCGUAUUGAGAUUUGCAACUUCGCUACUAUACUGUCCUAGAGGAAUCCUAGUAUCCUGCUAUUCAACAGACAUAUGUUGUUGACAUGGAUAGCUGCAGUGUCCCUAUAUUCCUUUAUUUUUAUGGAGAAAACACAAAAGGUUUUGUUACAAUGGAUUUUAACACCCGAGUCAUGGAACCAUAUUGUUGAAACUCUGUAAAUUUUAAGGCAAUUUUCUGAAAUCGCUUGAAAGUGGAAUGUUGCAUCCUUUUAUGCUAUUUCCUGCUUCCUAUGUAGUUUUAUUCAGAUUUUUUAACCUUCUUUCUAAGUUUUGGCCUCCUGUGUAUUAGGUACAGUAUUUUCUGCCUUUCAUACUUUGUAAUAAAAAUGGAACAUUUGUAGAUUGA